rnacentral:rRNA from 1 species
AUUGAACGCUGGCGGCAGGCCUAACACAUGCAAGUCGAGCGGAGCGGCGGACGGGUGAGUAAUGCCUAGGAAUCUGCCUGGUAGUGGGGGAUAACGUCCGGAAACGGGCGCUAAUACCGCAUACUAUCAGAUGAGCCUAGGUCGGAUUAGCGAGUUGGUGGGGUAAAGGCCUACAAAGGCGACGAUCCGUAACUGGUCUGAGAGGAUGAUCAGUCACACGUGAACGGCGAGACGGUCCAUACUCCUACGUGAGGCAGCAGUGGGGAAGAUUGGACAAUGGGUGAAAGCAUGAUUCAGCCAUGCCGCGUGUAUGAAGAAGGCCUUCGGGUUGUAAAGUCCUUGCAGCGGGGAGGCGUUACCCGCAGAAGAAGCACCGGCUAACUCCGUGCCAGCAGCCGCGGUAAUAC